AGAGAAUCGCUUGAGCCCGGGAAGCGGAGGUUGCAGUGAGCCGAGAUUGCACCAUUGCACUCCAGCCUGGGCAACAAGA
rnacentral:snRNA from 1 species